GACCCGAACCUGGGUGAUCUAUCCAUGACCAGGAUGAAGCUUGGAUGAAACUAAGCAGAGGUUCGAACCGACUGAUGUUGAAGAAUCAGCGGAUGAGUUGUGGUUAGGGGUGAAAUGCCACUCGAACCCAGAGCUAGCUGG
rnacentral:rRNA from 1 species